GGGACCACUAAGGUCUAUAUAAAAGAGACUUCAGAUACAGGAUUAGGGGACCACUAAGGUCUAUAUAAAAGAGACUUCAGAUACAGUAUUAGGGGACCACUAAGGUCUAUAUAAAAGAGACUUCAGAUACAGGAUUAAGGGACCACUAAGGUCUAGAUACAAGCAUCCAAAGAGUACCAUGUCAUGGGACCUUUAAGAUAUUUAUAAUUUGGCGGCCGCCCUGCAGUAACUCUGAGGACCCCCUUAUGGGUCCCUGACCCCCUGUUGAAGAUCCCGGUCAUACAUCAUCUAACCUCCACAGGAGCAGAAACCGUUGAUCCAUGACCUCGUAGCUCGGGGUCAGUCUACCUCGGAUAUUACAGACAUUACGGGGGAUAAUAAUCAAUUAUGGAGAAAAUGAACUGGGAUUAUUUUUAACUGUUGAGCUCUAUUUCACAGAUUAUUAUCAUCAUCAUGUUAUUACCGGCAUUAAGGGUUCCAAAGGAGCACUUAUCGAGAAGAAGGAACCGCUAAAUCACAGCUGAUAAAUCUUUGCUUUUGUGUAGAUUUACUGGAAGCUGCUCUGGUAAGAAAAGCAAAAAAAAAACAGCCUUCAUUCAUCAUUUAUUCAUUCAUUUAUUCAUUCAUUCAUAGAUGUUCUGACAGUUUAUUGGUAAUUUGCUACCGUCGUCAGGGAGAUUUGGGAUUAUGACCUCACUGUGGCCGACGGCCCGGGACACGACAAGUGAGAUCAUCUUCUUCUUCUUCUUCUUCUUCUUCUCUUUACGUGAAGCUUCUGCAACUCGUUAGCUUUCUGUUUUGAAUAUCGUAUUACUCACAAAUACUCCAUAACUGCGAAGAGACAAACGCUGUACAGUCGCCCGCCAAAAGAAACCCCUUUUUUAAUCAUUUCUCCACACAUCUAGACAGCACAUUUAAAAAAUAUAGAAAUUGGGAAACGUCUUGAAUAAUGCCGUGUGGCCUCUAGGGAAAUCAUUUAAAAAAAAAAAAAGUUACAAACAAUAAAAAAAAAACACUCAAAAUGCCCCAAAAAAUAAUAGAAGACACAAACGUUCAGUCCUUCCCAUUUCCUGCAAAAGCAUCCAUUGAUUUUAAUCUGAAGUGCUUAUCCUGCCAAGGGCUGGAGCCUAUCCCAGCAUGCACUGGGGUAGGACAGGGUGACUACACAUUUUAGGGAGCGACAUUUGAGUUGGUGUAGAGAUGUCAGGUAGUAAACCUCGUUAUGAAGAGGGUGUGUGCAGGUCCUUUGCUCGUUUUGAUUUCUAAAUGUGUAACUUAAAAGAUCU